CUUAGCAGAACAUCGACUAAAUGCUGCACGUCCUGUGCAAACGUCGAUGGCGCUCACAUCGUGUGAG
rnacentral:sRNA from 1 species